GGCCGGCCGCGGAGGGGGAGGAGCGGGAGCUGAGCGAGGCGGGCGGGCGGGGGAUGGGGCCGUGCCCGGGCUCCCGCUGCAGCCGCCCGGGGACACGCCGUGCACCCUCCGGCUCGGGGCUCUCGCGGCGGCAUCUGUGGCAGCGUUAGCGGCGGCGGCGAGAGCGGCGUUCCCGGCGCUUCCUGGCCGCGCUUCUCCCUUCAGGCUGGUCGAAGAGAAGAGGCAGCGGCGGCGGCGGCGGCACACCGGCGUCUCUCCCGCUGGAGAUUUCUUUCUGCUUUCCUCGUCGACUGACUGACUGGCCCCCUCCCUUUUUUUGAGGAAGGGUGACCUCUUCUUUGGGACUGGAAAAAAUAUUUUUUUGAGGUGGGGGGAGGUGGGUGGCAGCGUCAGGGGCUGCUGCUUCUCUUCUUUUCAUCUCCCUUUCCUUCCCCCUCCGAGCCCGAAAAGCAAACCCCACAACUGCUCCAGCAUCUUCAUUCCCUUCCUCCACCGCUUCCAGUUUCGCCCUCUCCCCUCCUAAUUAUUUCAUUAUUAUGCUCCCCUCUCUGGGGGGUCUCGUCCCUCUCAGGUCGCUCGGAAGCCUUGGCCUCCCCUGGAUGCAUUUCUUAAAAAUUUUGGAGCCAGGGAGUGAGUUUUCUCUGAGGCGUGUGUGAGAGGCGGCGGGGGUGUUUUCCUGUGCGAGGGGCGGGUGAAGUUCAUUGCCCCCACUUUUCCCGCGACCUUUUUCGGGCCGGAUUUGGAGUCGCGGGGGGCGGGCAGGCGUUUUCGGGGGCCGGGGGGCGCGGCGGAGAAUGGCUGCGGGGAGGGCUCCCCGGAGCCUCCCAGUCUCUUGAUCAAAGCAUUCCGCUAUUCUGAUUUAUUGCCUGCUUGGUGAGUUAUUUUUUUUUUUCCCCCUCUAAAGGAGACCUGUGUGUUCAGCCAUUACUUUGCUCGGCGCUGCUCACAGGAAUCUCCGACCCUCGGUGCUGUGGGCAGCCCCGCACUUGGGCUCCUCGCCUCUCGCCCUCGCUCCCGUCCCUCCUCCCUCUCUCCGCCCCUUCCCCCUUUUCUUUCUCCUCUCUUUCUUCCCCACUCUCCCUUCUUUCGGCCGCCGUCUCCCCCGCGCCCUCCUCGGGGCGGAGGGAAGCCGAGAAGGGGGAGGGAGGGGUUGGUGUCAAUUUUUUUGUGCGGCCGCGGCCGGAGCCUGUGGCGGGCAGGCGGCGAGCGGGGAGACCCCGGCGCGGCAGAGCCAUGGAUGGCCCGACGCGGGGCCAUGGACUCCGCAAAAAGCGGCGGUCGCGGUCACAGCGAGACCGGGAGAGGCGCUCCCGGGGCGGGCUGGGGGCCGGCGCGGCCGGCGGCGGCGGGGCCGGCCGGACCCGGGCGCCCUCGCUCGCUUCGUCGUCGGGCUCCGACAAGGAAGACAAUGGGAAGCCCCCGUCCUCCGCCCCGUCCCGGCCCAGACCCCCGCGGAGGAAGCGGCGAGAGUCCACCUCGGCCGAAGAGGACAUCAUUGAUGGAUUUGCCAUGACCAGCUUUGUCACUUUUGAAGCGCUGGAGUGCCCUAUCUCUGGAUCCAGGAAAACCCAAGUGCAAUAAAAUGGAGUCACAAGAGGAGAAGAAAAAAGCCCACAGUUUGUAAGUAAAUGAAAAAUGGUAAUGCAGGUUGGGAUUCCCUUUUGGCAGAAAGCCUUCAAAUUGCAGACAGAUACUGUGUGAUUGUUGUUAACUGAAGCAUUUUGAAGUGACCUGGAUUACAUACAGAAACACAGCCUGUGAAAACAGAUUAUAUGGAUGAAAUCUGAUACUUUCACACUGGGUCUGCGACAGGGUUUAUGUCAAUGCCAGGGUCAAGUGGUGAUGGUUCCUGAGGGAUGUCAGGGUAUUGUUUUCCUUGUCUCCACACCUACCCUCCUUUGUAGCACAACCCACCAAGUGCAUUCUGGAUUUAUGCAAAGUUUCUCAUGGUAGUGAUAUUUUAGAGCUUGUGAAGAGGAUUUAAGAGAGUCUGGUACUGCAGUGAUUUCUUGAUAGUUAUACUGAAAUAGACUUGUUGUUUGCUAGGUUCUCUGUUCAGCUAUGCUUUCUAGCUAAAUGUUACUGGCGAUUUAGUGAAUAGUUUUCCAUAGUUAGCAACUAAGAGAAGGAAAAAAAAAAACCCUCAGGAGAUAAAGAUGUAGAUGGAACAAUAGUUGAGCAUUAGGUUAUCACUUAUUUUCCAGCCACAUACUAGAAAUUGCAGUGUUCCACCCACUCUGCCUAUACAUGUUCAGUGGCAAAAAUAACAAAGGUCCUGAAUUGUGCUAUUCUAAGAAAUGAUUUUAUAUAGUUCAAGUGACAUUGUACUUUCACUGGACAAAAGGGGAAGCAAACAUUUAGUAUCUUGCAUUGUUGCGUGUUCCAAGUUUGCUCCUGCCACAUUUGUUAGGCUGAUCAGUUUAUUUGGGAAAAUUACAGUUUUGAGACUAAUGUCCAGAGCUACAGUCCUCAGGGGGGUGUUGUCCUAAAGUUAGGACCUCAACUUUUUCAGAGCAGCCUUUUGAUCCAUUUCACUUUAGCUGUUGUUGACUGAUGUGCUUUCUAAGCCAGAGCAGCAUUCGAGGCACAGAUAUUGUCUUUAGAAAUGCUGUAGUUCUACCUCUCAUUUUGCAAAUGAAAACACAGCCCAGAGGGGUUAAUUGUCCUGCUUAAGAUCACACUGGGAGUUACAGGCUCUCACUGGUAUCCAGUGAAGCUAGAGGACUGUCUGCUUUUUUUAGUAAAUUGGAAGGCUGAAAAAAAAAAAAAACCCACAAAUGAGGGUGAUCACCCAUGGUUGUAAAGAUUCCCAAUUUGUCUAAGAAAUGUUCUGAUUAUUGCUCAGUAUCAGGAAACUUUUAAAAGCAUUCUGGUUUUCCCCAGUGCACGGUUGGCCUUUCUCUCAGGUCCAUUAUUAGUCUUUUUUAACACCCUUCCCUCCCCUCCAUAAUGAGGAUGUAAAAGAAAAAACAAAUAUUAGGGUGAUGGUAUGAGAGUUUCUCAUCCUUGAGUAUCCAAUGGAAAGAUAAAAUAAUUAUUUGGAUGUAAGAUGAUCUUAAUGUUGCCCACUUAAAAUUUUAAUGUAAUUUUUUGAGGGUAGAAUAUUUUCUUCAGCCUGGUGAUUCAGAGACUCAGAGCAACUUAUCAACGUUGGUAGCAGAACAUUUUUGAAACAAGUGAACUUUUGGAGUACGGUUGAAUUGAAGACUCAAUCAAACUUUUCUUCUGAGGAGGAAAGACUCAAAAUAUUAAAUCCACAUGACGUGUUGGGUAAGGCAUCUUGCCUGUUUAUUGCUGAACCAGAAAAUUUAUAACAACUGUUUGUCAUGUGUGUAUAUUUAUAGCCAUUCAUAUAAUGAAAAGAAGUUUUCAUGAGAUUGUAAUAACAUAUCAAGAUGGAUGUAAUUAAAACAGAAGCAGAUUGACACCCUGAAUUAAAUGCAAACCAUAAACCAGGAUACCUGAGCAUUGGUGCCUUAAGUAUUUGCUGCAGGGGGCAGUCAGCC
ensembl:lincRNA